rnacentral:tRNA from 1 species
GCCAGCAUAGCUUAGAUGGUAGAGCAAUGCAUUCGUAAUGCAUAGGUCAAGAGUUCGAGUCUCUUUGCUGGCU